rnacentral:lncRNA from 1 species
AACUACGAGUCCACCGUAUUAUCUACACUUGUUUUCUUCCUUCUUAAUUUUUGCCAUUAUCUACUAAACCUUCUUUGCAUUUUCUAGAACUCUGAUCUCUCUCUCUCUCUCUCUCUCUCUCCUUCCUUCUCCCUCUUCCACUUUCUUCAAUUCCCAUUUCUGUACUGUACUGCUCUUUAUAUUCUCCAAAUCUUUCCUUAAUUUUAUGCCUAACAUUUUACCAGAAUUCCUAUCACCAACAGCCCUUUUCUCUCUUCUUUAAUUCUUGCUUAUUUAUCUAACCAACAAACCCAANNN